rnacentral:rRNA from 1 species
CGUCCUACGGGAGGCAGCAGUCGGGAAUAUUGCGCAAUGGAGGAAACUCUGACGCAGUGACGCCGCGUAUAGGAAGAAGGUUUUCGGAUUGUAAACUAUUGUCGUGAGGGAAGAAAUUGACAGUACCUCAGGAGGAAGCCCCGGCUAACUACGUGCCAGCAGCCGCGGUAAUACGUAGGGGGCAAGCGUUAUCCGGAUUUACUGGGUGUAAAGGGAGCGUAGACGGCCAGACAAGUCUGAAGUGCAAAUCCAGCGCUUAACGUUGGAAGUG